UCCCUGGUAGUCCAGUGGCUAAGACUCUGAGUUCCCAAUGCAGAAGGCCUGGGUUUGAUCCUUGGUCAGGGAA
rfam:Ovis aries breed Texel chromosome 14, whole genome shotgun sequence.